AUUGAACGCUGGCGGCAGGCCUAACACAUGCAAGUCGAGCGAGCGGCGGACGGGUGAGUAAUGUAUGGGAAACUGCCCGAUAGAGGGGGAUAACUACUGGAAACGGUGGCUAAUACCGCAUACCAUCAGAUGAACCCAUAUGGGAUUAGCUAGUAGGUGGGGUAAAGGCUCACCUAGGCGACGAUGCCUAGCCGGUCUGAGAGGGUGACCGGCCACACUGGGACUGAGACACGGCCCAGACUCCUACGGGAGGCAGCAGUGGGGAAUCUUGCGCAAUGGGCGCAAGCCUGAUGCAGCCAUGCCGCGUGUGUGAAGAAGGCCUUCGGGUUGUAAAGCACUGUCAGCGAGGAGGCGUUACUUACACAUGAAGCCCCGGCUAACUCCGUGCCAGCAGCCGCGGUAAUUC
rnacentral:rRNA from 1 species